rnacentral:lncRNA from 1 species
AGUACAAGCAACUCUUCCUGUCUUCUUAUCCAGAGUCACAAGAGGAUGGGAGAGGAGCAGUCUGCAAGCAGCCGUAGGAGCAAGACCUUGAGACGUGUCCAUCAAUGCUACGAUAGAUUCUGCUUUGGAGAUCAACAUGCUGUAUAUCACAAUAAUGAUGGGACUCACGGCAUGGAGGAUGGACAGAGGAGCUUUCUCCUGGAGUGGUAUUUCUGGAAUUUCUAGUGUCAGGUGCUACUUAAUAUCUCUCACAAGAAAAGAAGAAAUCCCUCUGCCUUUUAAUGUUCUGGGAAUAGAAAGAAUAAAGGAGACUGAGGUGAAUCCACCAAGGAGUAUAGCAAUUUCUAUUUGUCUCCUUAAUAGUCCAACACUUCACUCACACAACAAUGUUACGUAGUUUCAUCAAAUGAUGAGUCCAGCCCCUUUCUUCUGCAGAAAAUGUCAGUUCACUGCUCCUUGCCUACAAAAUAGAAAUUAGAGAGAUACCAGCUUUUCUAGCCAGACUACAAAAUUACUUUGACUAAAUCGCUAAAAAUUCAGCCUCUCUACCAAUUUCCACAAUACGUCUCAAAUGGUAACUUUAAUCUCUGUUUGUGCCUUUCAGGAAUCCAAUGAGCAAACAAUUCUUUCUCUAAAGCAACUCUCCCUUCAGCCCAUUGUGUUGUAGGUCUUUUCAGUCCCCUGAGAAACUCAUAAUUCCUGUAGCUGAUGUCCAUCUUCCCCAAAAUGUAUUACCAUUUAUUAUUUGCAUGUAUGUCCUUUUUCAUUUGCUUUAUUCCUAUGGGUUUAUGCUCUCCUUCCCUUGUUUUCUUAAAGAUAAAAAUCCCCUUACUUUUAUUUCAAUGAUGUUGGGAAAGUGUCGUAAAUAAAGGUUGUCAAUGUUCUCUGUUCCUUGAACUUUUAAAUCAAUGAUUAAAAACAGCAUCAUGAUAAAUUUUAAGAAAAUAAUAUAUUCAGAUGAUAUUAUUUCCUUUGGCAUAAUGAUUGUGAUUUGCACUUAAAAAUGAUUACUUGUGGAAAGAUUUUCAUAUGCCUUACAAAUGAUCCAGAGCUUCUGUGAAAGAUUUUAUGUGUACAGUUAAAAACGAUUUUGUGUAUAUUGACUUAAGAACAUGUAUUAAUUUAGGGGUUCCAAGAUGGCCGAAUAGGAACAGCUCCAGUCUACAGCUCCCAGUGUGAGUGAUGCAGAAGACAGAUGAUUUCUGCAUUUCCAACUGCGGUACCGGGUUCAUCUCACUGGGGAUUGUCGGACAGUGAGUGCAGGACAGUGGGGGCAGUGCACCAAGCAUGAGCCGAAGCAGGGCAAGGCCUCGCCUCACCCGGGAAGCACAAACAGUCAGGGAAUUCCCUUUCCUAGCCAAGGAAAGGGGUGAAAGAUGGCACCUGGAAAAUCGGGUCACUCCCACCCUAAUACUCUGCUUUUCCAAUGGUCUUAGCAAAUGGCACACCAGGAGAUUAUAGCCCACGCCUGGCUUGGAGGGUCCUACGCCCAUGGAGCCUCGCUCAUUGCUAGCACAGCAGUCUGAGAUCAAACUGCAAGGUGGCAGCUAGGCUGGGGGAGGGGUGCCCGCCAUUGCUGAGGCUUGAGCAGGUAAACAAGGUGGCCCGGAAGCUCGAACUGGGUGGAGCCCACUGCAGCUCAAAGAGGACUGCCUGCCUCUGUAGACUCCACCUCUGGGGACAGGGCAUAGCCAAACAAAAGACAGCAGAAACCUCUGCAGACUUAAAUGUCCCUGUCUGACAGACUGGAAGACAGUAGUGGUUCUCCUAGCACGCAGCUUGAGAUCUGAGAAUGGGCAGACUGCCUCCUCAAGUGGGUCCCUGACCCCCGAGUAGCCUAACUGGGAGGCAUCCCCUCCAGUAGGGGCAGACUGACACCUCACACGGCCAGGUACUCCUCUGAGACAAAACUUCCAGAGGAACGAUCAGGCAGCAACAUUUGCUGUUCACCAAUAUUCACUGUUCUGCAGCCUCCGCUGCUGAUACCCAGGAAAACAGGGUCUGGAGUGGACCUCUGGCAAACUCCAACAGACCUGCAGCUGAGGGUCCUGACUGUUAGAAGGAAAACUAACAAACAGAAAGGACAUCCACACCAAAAACCCAUCUGUACGUCACCAUCAUUAAAGACCAAAGGUAGAUAAAACCACAAAGAUGGGGAAAAAACAGAGCAGUAAAACCGAAAAAUCUAAAACUCAGAGCUCCUCUCCUCCUCCAAAGGAGCGCAGCUCCUCACCAGCAAUGGAACAAAGCUGGAUGGAGAAUGAUUUUGGUGAGCUGAGAGAAGAAGGCUUCAGAUGAUCAAACUUCUCCGAGCUAAAGGAGGAAGUUCGAACCCAUAGCAAAGAAGUUAAAAUACUUGAAAAAAGAUUAGACACAUGGCUAACUAGAAUAACCAAUGCAGAGAAGUCAUUAAAGGAACUGAUGGAGCUGAAAACCAUGGCACGAGAACUACGUGGCGAAUGCACAAGCUUUAGUAGCUGAUUUGAUCUACUGGAAGAAAGGGUAUCAGUGAUGGAAGAUCAAAUGAAUGAAAUGAAGCCAGAAGAGAAGUUUAGAGAAAAAAGAAUAAAAAGAAAUGAACAAACCCUCCAAGAAAUAUAGGACUAUGUGAACAGACCAAAUCUAUAUAAACAGAACCAAAGACAAAAACCACAUGAUUAUCUCAAUAGAUGCAGAAAAGGUCUUCGAAAAAAUUCAACAGCCCUUCAUGCUAAAAACUCUCAAAAAAUUAGGUAUUGAUGGGCCAUAUCUCAAAAUAAUAAGAGCUAUUUAUGACAAACCCACAGCCAAUAUCAUACUGAAUGGGCAAAAACUGGAAGCAUUCCCUUUGAAAACUGGCGCAAGACAGGGAUGCCCUCUCUCACCACUCUUAUUCAACAUAGUGUUGGAAGUUCUGGCCAGGGCAAUCAGGUAGGAGAAGGAAAUAAAGGGUAUUCAAUUAGGAAAAGAGGAAGUCAAAUUGUCCCUGUUUGCAGAAGACAUGGUUGUAUAUCUAGAAAACCUCAUCGUCUCAGCCCCAAAUCUCCUUAAGCUGAUAAGCAACUUCAGCAAAGUUUCAGGAUACAAAAUCAAUGUGCAAAAAUCACAAGCAUUCUUAUACACCAAUAACAGACAAACAGAGAGCCAAAUCAUGAGUGAACUCCCAUUCACACUUGCUUCGAAGAGAAUAAAAUACCUAGGAAUCCAACUUAUAAGGGAUGUGAAGGACCUCUUCAAGAAGAACUACAAACCACUGCUCAAUGAAAUAAAAGAGGAUACAAAUGGAAGAACAUUCCAUGCUCAUGGGUAGGAAGAAUCAAUAUCGUCAAAAUGGCCAUACUGCCCAAGGUAAUUUAUAGAUUCAAUGCCAUCCCCGUCAAGCUACCAAUGACUUUCUUCACAGAAUUGGAAAAAACUACUUUAAAGUUCAUAUGGAACCAAAAAAGAGCCCACAUUGCCAAGUCAAUCCUAAGCCAAAAGAACAAAGCUGGAGGCAUCAUCCUACCUGAAUUCAAACUGUACUACAAGGCUACAGUAACCAAAACAGCAUGGCAUUGGAACCAAAACAGAGACACAGACCAAUGGAACCGAACAGAGCUUUCAGAAAUAAUGCCACACAUCUACAACUAUCUGAUCUUUGACAAACGUGACAAAAACAAGAAAUGGGGAAAGGAUUCCCUAUUUAAUAAAUGAUGCUGGGAAAACUGGCUAGCCAUACGUAGAAAGCUGAAACUGGAUCCCUUCC